rnacentral:tRNA from 1 species
AGCGGGGUAGCACAACGGACGAUGCGCCGCCUCUGCAAGGCGGAGGAAGCCGGUUCGACUCCGGUCCCCGCUC